AGGUGGAGAUUGCAGUGAGCUGAGAUCAUGCCACUGUACUCCAGCCUGAGCAACAGAAUGAGACUUCAUCUCAAAAACAAACAAACACUCUAAUAAUCUAUGUCUAAUAGGUUUGUUACUUACAUUUAAUGUAUUGACAUGUUUGAACUGAAGUCUACUGCUUUAUUAUUUGCUUUCUAUCUGUUCCCUCUUUCAUUCCUGUGUUUCUUUCUUUACUUUGUUUAGAUCUGAACAUAUUUUAGUAUUCCAUUUUAAUUUAUUUAUUGUGCUUUUGUAUAUAUCUUUAAGUAGUUUUCUUAGAGGUUGCUCUAGAUUAUAAUAUACAUAUUUAAUUUUUCAUAGUCUACUUAGAAUCAGUAUUUUACCAUUUCAAGUGGACUGUAGAAGUCUUACUGCAUACAAAACCUUUUACCCUCUCUCCCCUUUAUAGUAUGGUUUUCUAAUAUAUUGCAUUUUCAUGCAUUAAACACCCCACUGAACAAUAUAAUUUUUCUUUUAAACCAUCACAUAUACAUUAAAGAUAUCAAAAGAAAAAAAGUCCAUUAUAUUUACCCAGAUAUUCACCAUUUCUGUUGCUCUUCCUUCAUUCUUAAAAUUAUGUUUUCCU